AUGGGCGCAAGCCUGAUGCAGCGACGCCGCGUGGGGGAUGAAGGCCUUCGGGUUGUAAACUCCUUUCGCUAGGGACAAAGCUUUUUGUGACGGUACCUAGAUAAGAAGCACCGGCUAACUACGUG
rnacentral:rRNA from 1 species